UCUGAAGAGCAACUCGGACAGCG
rnacentral:piRNA from 1 species